rfam:Pteropus alecto contig64946, whole genome shotgun sequence.
AAGACCAUACUUUCAGGGAUCAUUUCUACAGUUUGUUACUAGAGAAGUUUCUCUGAAUGUAUAGAGCAUCGGAAACCACGAAAAGGAAGUACAGUAUUUUGUCCUGAGCGUGAAGCUGGUUUUUGGUGUUGCAUUUGCAACUACUAUUAGCUAUUGAUGAUCAUUCUUUUCUCUCUUGGAGAGAGUGAGGAGAGAAUGCAGUCUGAUUGGU